GGAUACUCAGUCGGUAGAGCAUGAGACUCUUAAUCUCAGGACUGUGGGUUUGAGCCCCAUGUUGGGCA